AUGUACCACGCGUCCACUGCGGUUCUGAGCGCGCCGUNUCACCUGACAGCGGCUCGCUACGUUUUGUCAGCG
rnacentral:sRNA from 1 species